GAAAAACAAGAAUGGACACCAACCUAACAAAGACUUGGAGUAAAGAUUCUUAUUUAUAUCAAUUUGGCAUGGACCAUUAAAAUCAUCAACCUGCCAUUGUCCCUAUGGUGGUUUGUAACAAGUUUACGGGUCGCACUGGCACACGCAGCACGAAGGGAAUAGGAACCAGUCCAUAAAUAUGCCCGCGCAGUCGUUGCUUGGGUCGUAGGC